ensembl:lncRNA
CUGACCAUGAAAACAGCAUUUUCCAGUCAAGAUAGUAAACAGAUGAUCUUUUUACCAAGUUCAAGGGGAUACUUAUAUGUUUGGAUUGUUUGGGACGCCAGAGUUGCACUUGCUCCAAAUAUCAAAGGAAUUUGAUGGGAUUCAGACGAUGUGUUACUGUCGACUGAUGAUAACCGAUGCUUUACUUAAAGAGGAAAUCACCGCCUUAAACUAGUUUCACAGUAUGAGACACUUAAGCAAAACAUUGUGAGGCAGAAGCCACACAGCGCUUUCCCUGGAAAGAGAGAUGCUUUUGGCGAUGUGGCAGUGAAUCACACUACAACUUUAUUUGUCAAUCAUGGACAGUCUGCCAAAAUCAGAUGCAACUACAACCCAACAAAUGACACAGAAAGCAUGACGGCAGUUCUGCAAACAUUAAAUCUUUCACUGUGUUCAUAUUACUUUUAUGACAAUACAUGGAAAACCCACCAUUGUAAAGAUCCUGUCAGAUUCACUGGGAUUCCAGAGACUAAUGACAUAACAUUUGAACUCUUAAAUCUCCAAGUUCAGGAUACCGGCACAUACACCUGUACUGUGAAGAGGAUUGUAAAACCACCUCAAGUGGAUCUCGGAGUUCAAAGAGUUCAAGUUAUUGUGCGUCCCGUCUUGUUGCUGUCCUGUGUGAAGAGGCCUGAUGGAUCUACCAUGAUUCUGUGCUCUGUGGAAUUUUACCCUGAUUCUCUUGAACAGUUGUGGAUCAGAGAUGGAGAUGUCCUCAACAGCUCAUACUCAAACAAAUCAUUUAAUGGAUCCUUUAGUCAGCAAUCAUACCUUCUAUUGCCACCACAAACCUUCAGUGAUACAAUCUACUCCUGCUGGGUAAACCACCCGUCUUUAAACAAACCACUCGUGGCCAAUUUAUCGAGCUCUGUCUGUUAUGAAAGUGAGGGUGUAACUGUGAUUGUGACCGUAGUGUUUGUCAUGUUGACAGUGGCUUUGACUGUCUUUUUGAUCACUCUAGUCAUAUGCAAACAUUACAGAAGAACACGUCAGCAGUCUGUGUCUCCUGUAGGAGUGAUUGUCACACCUGAGCCUGUCCUGCAUGAUCCCCUGCAGUCUGAGAUACUGUACUCAACACUGGGUGACCAUCAUCCAGUCCCUUGCAGCCUUCCUGUUGUCCGCUCAUUUGCAUAAUAAACACUGAAUGAGCAAAUCUUACAAUGUUAGAUUCGUGUAUAUUUCAUUGGUAUCACAGUGGUACAACAACAAUUAGUUAUGGGGCUGGUUACAUAAACUGCAUAGACUAGUCUUAAAGGGCACCUAUUAUGCAAAAUCCCCUUUUACAUGAUGUUAGGAUGUAAAUGAGGCAGUUGUGACCUAAUGGUUAGAAAGUUGGACUUGUCCGGGUCCGGCAGGGAUUGUAGGUGGGGGAGUGAAUGUCCAGCACUCUCUCCACCCUCAAUACAACGACUGAGGUGAGACCCGAGCUUCCCACUGCUCCAGGUGUGUGUGUGUGUGUGUGUGUGUGUGUGUGUGUGUGUGUGUGUGUGUGUGUGUGUGUGUGUGUGUGUGUGUGUGUUUGUUCACUACUCACUGCUGUGUGUGUGCACUUGGAUGGGUUAAAUGCAGAGCACAAAUUCCAAGUAUGGGACACCAUACUUGGCCACACGUCGCGUCCUUAAGUGUGUGUUGGCAGUGUGUCAACUCAACCACCCUACAAUGAUAGAAACCGCACAGCCCUAUUCUGGAAAAAGGGCGGGGAUUUAAAGCAUUUAAAGAUCAGAGGUGGGUAGAGUACCCAAAAACUGUACUCAAGUAAAAGUACUUAUAGAAAUAUUUACUCAAGUAAAAGUAAAAGUAAUAGUCUGAAUAGUUACUUGAGUAAGAGUAAAAAAGUAUCGGAUAAAAAAAAUACUCAAGUAAUUAGUUACUAGUUAAUUUGGAUCAUAUACUGUAUAUCUCUAGUCUAUUUUUAUUUAGAUAUAUAGAUAUAAUUUAUGUAAUGUAUGUGUGUGUGUGUGUGUGUGUGUGUGUGUGUGUGUGUGUGUGUGUGUGUGUGUUAUUUUAUUUUCUCAUCAGCCUUUAAGCCAGUCUUUAGUGUCACAUAAUCCUUCAGAAAUCAUUCCAAUAUGUUGAUUUACUAUCAAUGAUUUGACUUGAAUGAAUGACACAGGUCCAAAAAAUAUUAAGUAUCAAAACUGUUUCCAGAGCUGAUAAUAAAUCAAUAUAUUAGAAUGAUCUCUGAAGGAUCAUAUGACUCUGAAAACUGGAGUAACAGCUGAUGAAAAUUCUGAUUUGCAUCACUGAAUUAAAUUAUGAUUUAAAGUAUAUUAAUUAUGUAUUAUAUAUAAAUAACCUCUGACACGGAGAAGAGUGAAAACUCCUCACACAACGGCUAAGUUACCGAACAUCUGAACAUAACAAACCAAAUGCACAUUGAUGGAUCUUCUUCCAUCUGUUCUGCAAAAUGUAAACAAAUGUAUAUUUCUGCAAGCGUAAAUAUUUUGGAAAUAUCAAUAUUAAUUUUGUCUAGG